rnacentral:lncRNA from 1 species
GGAAGCUUUCUGAAACAGGAAGGAAACUCAUCAUGUCUGUGCCGUGAGAAGAGCGAUAACUUAUAUCCAUUCACUGUUCCCUCCUGCAUUUUGGACUUGAGCGGAAGAUUCAGUCAGUAAGAGGACAACAUGGAGUUCACUGUACUACCCCUGCUGCUCUUGCUGAGUUUUGUCCUCUACUCUGGACUUUCACAAGGAGAUUUCAGAGCUGUUGUGAGACUGAAGCCUGACAGAACACAGAUAUUCCAUGGAGAACAUUUCACUCUGAUAUGUGACAUAGAGAAAGAGGGUGGACAGACUGACUGGGAAUACAAGUGGUAUCACAAUGGCAACCACAUUGGCUCUUGGACGUUUGAUAGAGAACAUUCAAUCAAUUUUGUAUCAGAAUCAGACAAGGGAAACUACACCUGUAAAGGUCACAGGAUCAGUGAUGGAAAUGAGACUGAGAGCAAACCUGUCACUCUAACUCUAUCAGGUACGAUUUAACAUUUUACAAUUGUCAUUAUUUUGGAUUUCGAUGUAAAGACACUGUAUGAUAAUACCCUUCAGGGCGUUUCAUGUAUCCGUCU